AUAAUUCCGUCAGGAUAGCCAGCGUUCCAUCGCGACCAGCGUUAAUUACCGUACCCCGCGGUAUCUGGCCACAGUAUACAGUGAGGAUGGGGAAGAGGACAAGAGUGGAACGCAGAAAGAGAAUGAAUGGCGCGGUCGCGGACCACGGUGGAGAGGCGUUUAAUUAAAUUAACGCUUAGCGAGAUUAACAACAGAGGUUGUACAAAUCCGACGAUGAUUGAGCGAAUACAAACUGGGAAUAUGAGAAGCACAGAAUUUAUCGAGACAAUCGAGAAGAGCAAUCACUUACUCAAAAAUUUUAGGGUAAAUAUCAGGAUUAAAUUCACAUGCAAUGCUUAUCGACGAAGAAUCGAGUGAUCGACUGGAGUUUCGUUAAUUGUCCCAUAGAAAUUUAUCGUGUACCUAACGAAAGGGACGAGGAUUUGCAGCACGGAAUUACGGGUGAUAAAAUGUCGAAGAACCUUUUGACUGACGUAUAAUGCUCAUCUCUGGAGUCAGCAUCGAAGCGUGGCCUGAGAAUUUGCUCGCGAUGGUAUAAAAGCCACAUAAAGCGGCCUCGAGUCCGUGGCAAUAAAAUCAAGUUGAAUUUAA